UGUUGGAUUUUCUACACUGCGGGCGGUGUACAAAACAUUUCUCAUCAUGACUAUGGUGAGUAUUUUAUUUAGAGGACCUCUCUUUGGGCUCGGGCCGUAGGGUCUUCAGCCCACCAAGAGAGGUGUGCAGCUCGAAGAGUGGUCCCAUCCUUUCAGCAAAAAACUUCGGAUAUUGUAUACAUAGGCAAAUGAAUUGCCUUGCAUCAUUCUGCUCAGACUUCUCUCCC
rnacentral:lncRNA from 1 species